UACGAAGGGGGCUAGCGUUGUUCGGAAUCACUGGGCGUAAAGGGAGCGUAGGCGGGUGCUUAAGUUGGAUGUUUAAAACCGGGGCCCAACCUCGGAGCGGCAUCCAAAACUGGGCGUCUUGAAUGGAACAGAGGCUAGUGGAAUUGGGGGUGUAGCGGUGGAAUGCGUAGAGAUCCCCAAGAACACCAAUUGCGAAGGCAGCUAGCUGGGUUCACAUUGACGCUGAGGCUCGAAAGCAUGGGGAGCAAACAGG
rnacentral:rRNA from 1 species